UACGUAGGGCGCAAGCGUUGUUCGGAAUUACUGGGCGUAAAGCGCACGUAGGCGGCUUUGCAAGUUAGAGGUGAAAGCCCGGGGCUCAACUCCGGAAUUGCCUUUAAAACUGCAUCGCUAGAAUUGUGGAGAGGUAAGUGGAAUUCCGAGUGUAGAGGUGAAAUUCGUAGAUAUUCGGAAGAACACCAGUGGCGAAGGCGACUUACUGGACACAUAUUGACGCUGAGGUGCGAAAGCGUGGGGAGCAAACAGGG
rnacentral:rRNA from 1 species